GCAGACACAUUCCAGCCAAUCAGCAGCAGACCCUCCUCCCUCCCAGACCCUCCCGCCUCCUGGACAGCAUCCAUUUUACAUUCAUUAUGAAGCUGCAUUCUUAGUGAGCUGUCCAGGAGGUGGGAGGGUCUGGGAGGGAGGGUCUGCUGCUGAUUGGCUGGAAUGUGUCU
rnacentral:miRNA from 1 species